rnacentral:tRNA from 1 species
AUCUCGGUGGUCUAGGGGUAUGAUGCCAGGCUAGUGAUCUGGAGAUCGUGGGUUCGAGUCCCACCCGAGAAC